rnacentral:rRNA from 1 species
UUUGUUCAACGGCCGCGGUAUCCUAACCGUGCGAAGGUAGCGUAAUCACUUGUCUUUUAAAUGGGGACGGGUAUGAAUGGCAUCACGAGGGUUAUACUGUCUCCUUUUUCUAAUCAGUGAAACUAAUCUUCCCGUGAAGAAGCGGGAAUAAACAUAUAAGACGAGAAGACCCUAUGGAGCUUUAAACUCAAUAACAAAUACUAACCUUACAUUAACCUUCAGAAUAUUAACCUUAAUUUUAGUAUUAUGAUUAUUAGUUUUAGGUUGGGGUGACCGCGGAGUAAAAAUUAACCUCCACAUUGAACGGGACCUAUCCCUGAGCCAAGAACUACAGCUCAAAGCACCAACAAAUUGACAUUAAUUGACCCAAUAUUUUGAUCAACGAACCAAGUUACCCUAGGGAUAACAGCGCAAUCCACUUCAAGAGCUCCUAUCGACAAGUGGGUUUACGACCUCGAUGUUGGAUCAGGGUCUCCCAGUGGUGCAGCCGCUACUAAAGGUUCGUUUGUUCAACGAUUAAAACCCU